rnacentral:rRNA from 1 species
GACGAACCGUGCGAACGUUGUUCGGAUUCACUGGGCUUAAAGGGCGCGUAGGCGGCCCGCCAAGUCAGGGGUGAAAGCCCCCAGCUUAACUGGGGAAGGGCCUCUGAUACUGGCGGGCUCGAGGGGGAUAGGGGCGGACGGAACUUCCGGUGGAGCGGUGAAAUGCGUUGAUAUCGGAAGGAACGCCGGUGGCGAAAGCGGUCCGCUGGGUCCCCUCUGACGCUGAGGAGCGAAAGCGUGGGGAGCAAACAGG